rnacentral:tRNA from 1 species
GGAUGGGUGGCUCAGUGGUUAGAGUCUAGCGCUCGUAACCGAAAAGCUCCGAGUUCGAAUCUCGCAAGAGGCA